CCUACGGGAGGCAGCAGUGGGGAAUAUUGGGCAAUGGGCGCAAGCCUGACCCAGCAACGCCGCGUGAAGGAAGAAGGCUCUCGGGUUGUUAACUUCCUUUCUUAGGGACGAAGCAAGUGACGGUACCUGAGGUAUAAGCCACGGCUAACUACGUGCCAGCACCCGCUGUAAUACGUAGGCGGCAAGCGUUAUCCGGAUUUACUGGGUGUAAAGGGCGUGUAGGCGGGGACGCAAGUCAGAUGUGAAAACCACGGGCUCAACCUGUGGCCUGCAUUUGAAACUGUGUUUCUUGAGUACUGGAGAGGCAGACGGAAUUCCUAGUGUAGCGGUGAAAUGCGUAGAGAUUAGGAAGAACACCAGUGGCGAAGGCGGUCUGCUGGGCAGCAACUGACGCUGAGGCGCGAAAGCGUGGGGAGCAAACAGGAUUAGAUACCCCUGUAGUC
rnacentral:rRNA from 1 species